GCAAUGGUGUCUUUAGACACCACCUUUUUCAUCUUUGAAACUUAU
rfam:Picea glauca, whole genome shotgun sequence.